AUUGAACGCUGGCGGCGUGCUUAACACAUGCAAGUCGUACGCGAAAGGGACUUCGGUCCCGAGUAAAGUGGCGCACGGGUGAGUAACACGUGGAUAAUCUGCCUCUAUGAUGGGGAUAACAGUUGGAAACGACUGCUAAUACCGAAUACGCUCAUGAUGAACUUUAUGAGGAAAGGUGGCCUCUGCUUGCAAGCUAUCGCAUAGAGAUGAGUCCGCGUCCCAUUAGCUAGUCGGUGGGGUAACGGCCUACCAAGGCAACGAUGGGUAGCCGAUUUGAGAGGAUGAUCGGCCACACUGGAACUGAAACACGGUCCAGACUCCUACGGGAGGCAGCAGUGGGGAAUAUUGCGCAAUGGGCGAAAGCCUGACGCAGCGACGCCGCGUGAGGGAUGAAGGUCUUCGGAUCGUAAACCUCUGUCAGAAGGGAAGAAACUAGGGUGCUCUAAUCAUCAUCCUACUGACGGUACCUUCAAAGGAAGCACCGGCUAACUCUGUGCCAGCAGCCGCCGUAAGAC
rnacentral:rRNA from 1 species